rnacentral:rRNA from 1 species
AACAACUCACCUGCCGAAUGAAUUAGCCCUGAAAAUGGAUGGCGCUGAAGCGGGCAGCCGACACUACACCAUCUAGGCUAGAUAUGUCUUAGAUGAGUAGGAGGAACGUGGCGGUUGUACAGAAGCAUGUCCGCAAGGGCAUGUGGAACGGCCGCUAGUGCAGAUCUUGGUGGUAGUAGCAAAUAUUCAAAUGAGAUCCUUGAAGGACCAAGCGGGGAAGGGUUCCACGCGAACAUUGAUUGAGCGUGGGUUAGUCGGUCCUAAGCCAUCUGGCAAUCGCUAGAUACUGGCGAAAGGGAAGCAGGUAAAGAUUCCUGCACUUGGGCAACGAUGUUUACACAGGUCCUAGUAGUCCCAGAGAUGCUGCGGUAGAAGUCCCCUUGCAGAGAUUUCUUUUCUGUUUGACGCCAUUACGGUCCUGAAAUCCAUUCACUGGGAGUAGGGACCGAUUUACUUUGAUGGUAGAGCACAGGCCUAUCCUUCCUGUGUUUGGGUUGAUUCCUGCAGACCUUGAAAAUCUGGGCGCGCCUACCGUCUUCGGACGCGUAGGGUACCGUUAAACGAAUUCUAUCCCAACCCGUACCCAUAACCGCAUCAGGUCCCCAAGGUGAACAGCCUCUGUCCAAUAUGAAUAAU